CACGAGGAAAAGAGACAGCAGGACGCCAAUGACAGUCUGAGCUUAGUGACAGACACAUAGUGAGGGAGAGCAGAAGUGAGGAAGGGAGACGGUGCGAGACAGCGGCAGAAACACGAGACAAGAUAGAGUUAAAGCCACUCACAGAUCGGUCCAUGUCAGCGACGAGAGCUGGAUGGCUUCCAGACACAAGGCAGCCGAGGAGGCACAGAGAAAUGGCAGGAUGGUGCAAUUCCAUGAACCAGGCGGUGAUGCAGCUGCUCAGGAUGCUCUCGAUUGUCCCUCUGUGGAUGUUGUGAGGAUGAGUGAAAUUCACAAUCACUGAGCUUCUGCUUAAACAAACCUGUGCUUAGUCAUAUACAGUGCAUCUGAAAAGUAUUCACAGCACUUCACUUUUUCCA